rnacentral:misc_RNA from 1 species
AACGCACAUUGCGCCCCGUGGUAUUCCGCGGGGCAUGCCUGUUCGAGCGUCAUUAUGACCAAUCCCGUUCUGCGGGGUCUUGGGCACCGCCUCCGGGCGGGCCUCAAAACCAGUGGCGGUCCGGCCGGGCUCUGAGCGUAGUAAAUCUUCUCGCUAUAGGGUCCCGGGCGGCACUGGCCAGCAACCCCCAAUCUUUCACAGGUUGACCUCGGAUCAGGUAGGGAUACCCGCUGAACUUAA